AACAACCCAUGAGUAAAAGAGAGGCACGGAGAUGGGGCUCACUCCACACCUCCCUCUGGGACCAGCUUCAGCUGACAGUGAUAGGGGCAGGUCCCUGAGGACAGAGAAGCUCUUAAGAAAUAGAAUUAUAGAAUGCCCUGAGCUGGAAGGGACCCACAAUGAUUUUCAAAGUCUAACUCUCCUACCAAGGAGGAGAUGGUAUCUCACCAGGAAAGCGCUUCUCACUGAGUUGGAGACAAACCAUAUUUAAGCCAAGCUCAAGGCAGUCAAAUGAGGACUGUGAAACACCUGCUGGGAUCCCCUCUGCCAAGACCACUUGCAGGUCCCAGUGGAAUGCUGCUCACACAAACUGGAGGUCACUUCUGCCCAUGUGGGGACCCAUCCUCUCCACAGGGCAAGGAAAGGACAAACAUUUUGUUGAUGCUCUGCGUUACAAGCCCAGCCUGCACCCGAUGUGCCCCAGCUGCUCCUGCAGGCCCUGUAGGCCCUGGGUCCUCUGGGAUGUAAGAUGUGUGAUGUGUGUUCAUCCUCUGGGAUGUAUGAUACCUGCAGGGCUUGAUGAUAAGAAACACCACCACAGCAGCUUGGGAAAGGCACCCCGCAGGCAUGGGGUGUUCCAGGGUGAAAGCAGACUGUGAGUCAGCUCAGAAAGUGGAGUCUGGAUGAGCAUCUUCAGGGUUGAUCCAGGAUUGCAUCACGGCAGUGGGAGAGGUCCACCCCCUGCCGGUGCUCAUGGAGGUCAGCCUGUGUGGGUAGGUGUCCAGCUGGACAGGUGAACUAGUGCUGGUGCCGCAGGGUGAUGCUUCUGCCUGCAGCACAGUAUCCUCAGCUCCCACCUCAGCUUCAGCAUCCUCCUCAAACCUUACCCUCCAGCCACAGAUCCAGCACAGCCCUGGGCCGAACCCACUCCCUGCUGUCAGUGUCCCCAGGCAGCUGAGGGGAGCAGCCAGUUCCCAGGGUACCCACAGAAUGUAGCUGUACUCUCCAGCUCCCCUGCCAGUCUCCCAAGAAGGACAAAAUGGCAGCAGCUGCUUCCUCAUCCCUUUUUGGGACAGGAGGUCCACAAGACAAACAGAAUCCUAGCCAGGCACGGGGUGCUGGCCAUGCCUCACCCCAGUGAAAGCUGGGAGCCUGAUGCAAGCACGUGGGGAACUUGCUCUGCUGGCAACUUGCACCGUGUCUUUCGUCAGCCAAACGGUCGGUUCCAGGAGAGGAGGAGCAGGGCAGGUGAGAUGGGGCUGCAGGUGCUGGCUGCCUUCCCGAGCUGCUCAGCAGGAGCAUGGGCUGCCCUCCCAGUGUGGCCACUGCACUGAGCAGGGCUCCUCCUCUGCUGCAGACCUUCUGCAGGGACCAUGUCGUGCCUGCAGCCUUCGCUACUGGAGUCUGCACAUCGUCCUUUGUCCCCUUCUCCCUUGCAAGGGAACGUGCACUCUGCCAAACUGCUGGUGCCCUGUCACUGGACGUGUCCCUGCUGUCACAGUCUGUGAUGAAGCACUCUGCAUCCCCGGCCUGUCCCUGGCUGAAGGCUGUUCUCAGCCGCUGCUCAGCAGGGUGAGAGAUGGGGAGAGCAGGAGCAUUUUCCCAGUGAAAGCCACAGACAUCCAUAGUCUGCAUGCCUGGUUGCUAUGAAUGGGAUGAAGGGCUUGGUUCCCCCACUCACUGCCCAUUCCUGCAGUGAAACCCGGUGACGCAGCAGCGAUGCUCAGGUCAGACCCAGGGUACCAGCACAGAGAGCAGGCUGUUCCCAUUACUGCUACACAAGGAGCCUACCAGCUAUCCCACAGCUGGGACAGACCCAGGAAGGGGACAAGCACAGCCUGGCUCCCUUCACUCUGGUUGUUUCUCCCAGGCUUCCCCAGCCACAUCCCUGCUCCCCAUACCAGCAGCUGCUGGAAGCCCAGCAGCCCAAGCCUGCAGUCAGUGGCACCAGCUAUACCCAGUGUUCCAGGACAAACCCCAUCCUGCUAGGAUGCAGGGGAAUGAUUCCUGGGGCCACAGGCAGCUGUCCACCACAGGCAGUGGCAGAGAGCAUCCUGCUGCUGUAGGGAGGGGUCCCUCAUCCCAACUGGGAGCUUGGAGGAGCGCAGACCUUGGAUGUGGCUCAGGAACACGGUUCCCACGCGUUCAGCCCACGCAGGCAGCAGCACAUUGCUCCUGCCUGCAGGAAACCUGGGAACAUGGCUGCCCGGGCUGGCCCCCUGCAAGCAGAUGUUAUUUUAACUCCCAGUUCCUCUCUCACUUUUGCCAGGCAACGACUGGUUCUGCUGUUGGCUAAGCAAUAAAGAGCCCCUUUUUUUUUUUUCUCCUCCACUAUUUCUAGGUUAUUUUUAGGCUUUUGUCAGUGGGUCUUUUCUGCAGACACUCAAAGAGCUGGAGAAGUUCUCCUGUUUUGCAUGCCCAGAGGAAGGGGAGCAAGUGCAGGGCAGGAGGUGCCAGCAAGAAGGGCUUCCCAACCCCGAUGGGGAUGCACACGCCUUGGAGCACCCACUGCCCUGUGCAGCACACAGGAGCAAGCUCCUCUUCUCCUACCCAGCUGUGCUGUGCAGGACUUGGCCUUCCACAAGGGAGCUGUGAUGCCCACAUCUUCCCAACUGUGCCAGCAGCAGCCUUCACCUCUCCAGAGCCCAACCAAGGCAGCUCCUCCACGUGGUGCCAGCAGGGAGAUCCCUGUGCUGCUCCAGCUGCAGCCCAGGGCAAGGUGAGGUGCAGAGGCGUAGGGAGGGACUCCUGCAGAAGGGAAGUUAACGGGACAGGAUGUGGGCUUAGGGACCCAGAGAGGGUCACACACAGCUGCAGCAGUGCAGGAGCUGCCGGAUGGAGCCAACAGAGCUGAAGUCAGCCAGUGUCACAUUCAGGCUUGGCAUAGAGACCAGGCUCCAGGAGGGGGAGAGAAGAGUGUUAGGGACACAGUGCCUGCCAGCACUGUGGAGUACCAGUGCCAUGGCCAGAAUCCCCCCACUGAGAGUACUGAUGGGAGUGAUGCUGCCCUGUCCCCAAAAGAGAGGACAUGCUAUAGCACAUCCCAAACCCCUUGUCAUGUCAAUGCUCAGGAGAAGGACAGCUUUUUGGGGAAACCUGUGUUUCCACCAGGCAGGGACAUUCCAGUCUAAGGCUGGGAUCCCCUCUCGCAAAGGCUGUUUUGUCCCCGGGGACAAAAGUACUCUCCACUUCGGGCAGGAGAUGUUACUUUGAGCGGCCCUACAGCUUGUUGUCUCACGGAAGAUUGCAAAACCCAGAGCUUCGCUGCAGCUCUAAGAAGCUCAGAAAGAGACAGAACCUGCUGGAAGGCAGACGCCCACGUCGGCGCUGGGCCAGCUCGAACCUUCCAGGCUGUUUCGCAGCCCCGCAGCUGCUUGGCAAGGACACUGCUGACCCUCCCACGUCACAGCCCCGAGCAGCCGGGGCCAGCUGUGUCCAGGCGCUGGGCUGGGGCUGCUGUUUUUCUGCUUUAUCAGGAUCUUGCUGAGCUCGGCGGCUCCCUGCUCACAGCAAGGUGAGGUCAGAGCUCUUUCUGUGCGAGCGCCGAGCGAGCAGCACGGGCACCCAACAUCUCUGAUGGAUCCCCGGCCGGCACGCGAGAAAACAGCGGAUGGAAACAUGGAGCACGGAAUCCCUCCGUGGUGGAUCUGGCUAAGGGCAAGAUUGCGAGAACUGCCAUCAAAUUCAUGUUUUUUUCUGGGAUCAGCUAGGAAUUAAGCAUCUGAGGUGCUGCGUUUAAACCCGAACCUUUACACAUCCCUUCCCACUCCCCUCCGCCCCAGCAUUGUGCUGCACAAACCCCAAGUUUCUUUGGAAGCGUUAUUUUAAGGAUAAGAUUUAAAGGACUCCUUUCAUAAAGAAUUGUGCUAUUAGGUUAUUUUUCUUUUAAUUUCCACAAAGGUGUUUUUUGUGCCUUGAGGACUAGAUCGAGAAGAGCUUUGGAGAAUGCUGUGAAGGCAGCCUGACUGAUACUGCCGCUCGCACUCGGCUGCCAAGCCCGUUCCAUGGCUUCCCGGGCAAUUAGUGCUUACAACACACAUCCACACAGCCAGCACAACCACUCCAGCUUUCCAUGUGUCCUUGAUAACUUCCUGUGGUUUUUUAAGACUUUGGUAGUAAUGAAAUGACUGAUGAUAAUGACAAGCAUAAAGUCCCAGAGUGCAAGA